GAUGAACGCUGGCGGCGUGCCUAAUACAUGCAAGUCGAGCGAACAGACGAGGAGCUUGCUUUUCUGACGUUAGCGGCGGACGGGUGAGUAACACGUGUAUAACCUACCUAUAAGACUGGUAUAACUUCGGGAAACCGAAUCUAAUACCGGAUAAUAUUUUGAACCGCAUGGUUCAAUAGUGAAAUACGGUGUUGCUGUCACUUAUAGAUGGAUCCGCGCUGCAUUAGCUAGUUGGUAAGGUAACGGCUUACCACGGCGACGAUGCGUAGCCGACCUGAGAGGGUGAUCGGCCACACUGGAACUGAGACACGGUCAAGACUCCUACGGGAGGCAGCAGUAGGGAAUCUUCCGCAAUGGGCGAAAGCCUGACGGAGCAACGCCGCGUGAGUGAUGAAGGUCUUCGGAUCGUAAAACUCUGUUAUUAGGGAAGAACAAAUGUGUAAGUAACUGUGCACUUCUUGACGGUACCUAAUCAGAAAGCCACGGCUAACUACGUG
rnacentral:rRNA from 1 species